UUUUUUUUCCUCCUCAAAGCCCCAGUACGUAGUUGUAUAUCAUAGCUGUAAGUCAUUCUAGUUCUUCUAUGUGGGAUGCCGCCACAGCAUGGCUUGAUGAGCAGUGUGUAGGUCCGCGCCCAGGAUCCAAACUGGCUAACCACAGGCCACUGAAGCAGAGUGCACAAACUUAUCCACUAUGCCACUGGGCCAGCCCCCAAAUUUCCCCUUUUUGUAAGGACACCAGCCAUAUUGGAUUAGGGCCCACCCUAAUGACCUCUGCUUAACUGAUUACAUCUGCAAAAACCCUAUUUCCAAAUAAGGUCACAUUCUGAGGUAUUUGGUGUUAGGACCCCAACAGAGGAGUCUUGGGAGGACACGGUCCAGCCCACGGCAGGUGACACAGGAUGAGAAAGGAGGGGCCAUGACUUUGGAGGCCUUGCUAAGAAACACGAGCUUUGCAGAAUGGAGACAAACACUACAGGGACUGGGGCCACCACACCCGAGGAGGUCUAGGGGGCAAAAGGGGGCACCCCCUUCAGAGUGAAGGACAAAUAUUGCACCUUGCACCCUCUGCACUAACAAGUACAUCUGACGGCCUCUUCUGAUUCUGGAGGUGUGCGUCCUCCACCACAGACACCGUUCCACCCACUCACCACGUGGAACCCAGAGAGCUCGAGGGUGUGGGCUCAGGGCAACAGGGGGCUCUGCGGCUGGCCCAGCAGAGGGCAGUGGACCUGCCAGACCCCCCCAGUAUCAGGGGCAUCCGUUAGGGUGCUGGAGGAUGGAAAAUAGCACCAUGGAAAGGGUGCGGCUCCCCACAGGAAAAUCAGGGCAUGCCUCCACAAGCCGCGCAUCCCUGCAGGAAACAUUGUUGGAGCCGCAGUGCUGGGCAACGAGUGGACUGUGGCUGCGGCAGAACUUAGGCCGUGGGACAUCGAGACGUCUGCCCCGGAUGCUCCGCGUCACAGGGGCCAGGCCAGGCAGCAGCCGCCAGGACGGAAGUGGCAGGUGCAGGACCAGGUGCAUUUCAGAGGAUUUUUCUCAAGAACUGAAGCUUCAGGAAGCCUCUGUGUCAUGUUGGAUGUAUCCUAGAGUGGAGUCAUUUUAAGAAAACUGACUGCCUGGAAAGUGGUCCCCAGGGAGUGAACGCUCUGGACAGCUGAGCCUCAGGGAGCCGUUGGAAGCACUUCUUGCCAGAAGUCGAGUCCGUCCUGGACGCGGGGGAAGCGGUGUCUUUUCCAGGAGGAGCGCUGCCUCCCAGCUGCGCCUGCGACUUCCCUGCUGUCCUGAGGCGCUGGCCUUGGAAGGACGCCCAACAGCCUCCCGUGGAAGGACAACCGCCCAGGGCGCCCUCUGCUGCCUCCAGAUGUGAGCACGUGAUCCCGGGCUGCUGUGCUGGGCUUUCCAGAUGCAUCAUCAGCGCCCGUGUCAGCGGGGACCCGGGGCUACCCUGCCUCCUGAGGACGCGGGUGGGAGGCCCAGGCCCCCUGCAAGGGCACAGGCGUCUCUCCCGCUCGGGGUGCCCACGCCUGCGCUCCACACUGCAGCCCUGCCUCUCAGGGGACUCCCAUCUGCAAGAAAAAUGUCUCAACACGUCUCCUCCUGUCCCACGUCCCUCCAGCUGUCACCACAGUUAGUCUCCUCUCCUCUGUGCCCAAACUUUGUGAAAGAUGUGUCACUUUGCAUCACUCUCCCAGCCACCCUCUGCGGCUGGCUCCACACCCGGGGUUCCCCACAACCCGGCCUCCUGGGCUCCUGCCGAGUGCCCACUGUCAGCCACUCACCUCCACCCGGUGCUACACACAAUGCAAGUCCAGUGUGUCCAGGAUCAAACUCGCUUUCUCCUCCCACCUGCUCAUCCACCUGGCCCCCUGCUGGCCUCCUGGGUGACCAUGCCCCUCAGCCCCACACCAAACCUGCAUCUCCUCCUGCCCAGUCCACUCCCACCUGAUUGGGCAACGACCAUCUUAUGCCUCGAUCGCUCCACCAGCCUAUUACACACAUUUGAUAUUUUGAUUGCGUUUCCUAUUAAUGUAAAACAAAGUUAAUAGAACUCAGAAAUUACAGAAAUGCACAAGUUAGAAGGGAAAAA
rnacentral:lncRNA from 1 species